GAUGAACGCUGGCGGCGUGCCUAAUACAUGCAAGUCGAGCGAACGGACGAGAAGCUUGCUUCUCUGAUGUUAGCGGCGGACGGGUGAGUAACACGUGGAUAACCUACCUAUAAGACUGGGAUAACUUCGGGAAACCGGAGCUAAUACCGGAUAAUCUUUUGAACCGCAUGGUUCAAAAGUGAAAGACGGUCUUGCUGUCACUUAUAGAUGGAUCCGCGCUGCAUUAGCUAGUUGGUAAGGUAACGGCUUACCAAGGCAACGAUGCAUAGCCGACCUGAGAGGGUGAUCGGCCACACUGGAACUGAGACACGGUCCAGACUCCGACGGGAGGAAGCAGUAGGGAAUCUUCCGCAAUGGGCGAAAGCCUGACGGAGCAACGCCGCGUGAGUGAUGAAGGUCUUCGGAUCGUAAAACUCUGUUAUUAGGGAAGAACAUAUGUGUAAGUAACUGUGCACAUCUUGACGGUACCUAAUCAGAAAGCCACGGCUAACUACGUG
rnacentral:rRNA from 1 species